rnacentral:rRNA from 1 species
UACAGAGGGUGCGAGCGUUAAUCGGAAUUACUGGGCGUAAAGCGCACGUAGGCGGCUUGGUAUGUCGGGUGUGAAAUCCCCGGGCUCAACCUGGGAACUGCAUCCGAAACUGCCUUGCUAGAGUAUGGAGAGGGAAGUGGAAUUUCCGGUGUAGCGGUGAAAUGCGUAGAUAUCGGAAGGAACAUCAGUGGCGAAGGCGACUUCCUGGACCAAUACUGACGCUCAGGUGCGAAAGCGUGGGGAGCAAACAGG